rnacentral:sRNA from 1 species
AUAAACCUUAUGAAUUUUUGUAGAUACAGAACUUGAUUCAUUGUAUAUAAUUAUGCUAUUUCCCUCAAUUAUCCAUAUGCAUAAUGCAAUGCAAAUGGGUAAGUAGUCAGUUAAACUAAGGGCUUGAUUGGUUCUCCCUCUGCCACCCGCAAACGCAGCGUUUGCGGGUGGUAGCGGUUGUUAGCGAUUGGCACCAAUCAUAUAAACCGCUAGAUAUCGCUUUGGACCGCUCGAAAUCGCCAGAUUUCAAAAGCUCCUUCCCGCAAGCGUUUGCGGUUGCGGGCGGUAGCGGUUAGGUUAAAAAAAAA